UAUUGCGUUACAUUGUAGCAAAAUGGCGGCUGUCAUUCAGAAUCCACUAAAAGCGUUGGGAGACCAGUUCUAUAAGGACGCUAUUGAGCAGUGCCGCAGCUACAAUGCCCGCCUGUGUGCUGAACGCAGCGUACGCCUGCCAUUCCUGGACUCACAAACCGGCGUGGCCCAGAACAACUGCUACAUCUGGAUGGAACGCCACCACCGCAGCCCUGGGGUGGCAGCCGGGCAGAUGUACACAUACCCCGCCCGGUGCUGGAGAAAGAAGAGACGGCUGCACAACACUUCUGACCCCCGCCUGGGCAUCUACGGUCUCCAGCUCGAUAGUGGCCUCAUGUCCAAGGACACCUUGCCCAACCAGAGCACCACGCUGGAGGCACUGCUACGGGGCGAGGGUCUAGACAAGAGGAACAACUCUAAGAAUGACGAGGAGAGCCUGCUGGAGAUCCAGAGGGUUCUGGAGGCAGAUGCAGCAGAGGAUGCUUUCAAUGAUGAUGAUGACUACGAGGUGGACACUCCCAAGAGGAGACACCGGGGCAAAGGAAGAGGUCGGGGUUCAGGCCGCAGGAAGGCAGAAGUGGACGAUGACAAGCCAUAUGUCUGUGACAACAGAUACAAACAAAAGAAUAACUCAAAAUCUUCAACCUCAGUCUAUGCGAAGCGCUACAGGAACCGUACAGGACUCAGCUACCACUACACCCAUUCCCACCUGGCAGAGGAGAACAGAGCCGGGGAGAGAAGCUCGGUGGCGUCCAGAUCUCCCUCUGUACAACAGACUGACCGGCACAAACGUCCAAAGGGUCCAGGGGGGACCAGCAUUCCCAACAACUACUGUAAUAAAUGCCACGGCUCGAACAAGAAAAUGGGAAAAGCCUGCCAAUGCACAACUGACCGCCGCGUAGAGGAAAAGGAGGACGGGACUUUUACUGGGGCCGAGGAGCUGUUCGGCACCACCUCGGAGAGCGACACUUCCACCUUUCAUGGCUUUGAGGAAGACGAGCUGGAGGAGCCCGCCACAAACAGCAACGGAAUAUCCAACCGACACAGAUAGAGAGAGCUGUCUAGAUUUAAAGAGACAUUUUUUUUAUAUGGAUUAACCUCUGGCAAAAAUCUGCUGCUUCUUUUUCAAUGUUUUUUUGUUUGCGGAAAGCACAAAGUGAUAAUUUCAGGACAGAAAUGCAAGUGGUAUUUUAUCUACUGAACAUUGUUGAAUAAUUUAUGAACACUUUUUUUUAUAAAUAAAUAUAUAUUAACUUUUAAGGCAAUGAACGACUGUCAGCAUUUCUUGACAAGUGACUUGCAAACAGAAGACAUUUUUGGAGUGUUUUUCCCCCCCUCACUGGAGCAGAAGGAGCAUAAAUGUUUUGAACAAAAAACACUGGAGAAAUUGGAAAUUUUGAACAAAUGAAAUUUUUAAAGGCAUGAAUGAUACGUUUGGAAGAUGAUUGAAUGUCAUUGCAGACCCAUACUUGAGCUACUGGAUGUUUCUGAAUCAGUGAUGACUAUGAAGUUCCUUUCUUCUGCUCUAACUCUGGAUUAUACUUGUAUGAAAAUGAAGGAACCAAUGAAAGGACUGCCACAGGUCGAUUGGAAUGUUUGGAGAUGAGGAAGCCUAAAUAUAUAGUCUUUAAGAUAUGAGCGACUAAAUAAGCAAAAGGAGCACUCAGCACAUUGGCAUGUAGCCCAGGGGUGGGGGCGACCAGUGAAGAAGAGGAUUUAACCCUCAAAAACUAAUGAGCCUUCAUGUCCCUCCUGAUUUGGGCCUAAAAUAACUGACAUGAAAUGGAUGGAUAGACAUCCACCACUUCUACAGGCCAUGUGGCUUAAUUGAAGCAACUGCUCCCUCGACGAUGUGAAUCGAUCACUUCUGAACAUUUGAAAUGUGAGUCGAUCCAGCUUCAUUUCAUCCUCUCUGCACUGUGCUGGAGCUCCACUGAACUAUGGGAACACUAAAGGCCAGGCCUUUGGACUGUUUGUGCCCAACGGGUGCAUUUCGGGCCUCGCGGCCCAGCAUGUCCACUCCUGCUCUGUGACUGUGUGUCUGCUGCGUGAUCUGAUGUGACACUAAGACGUCAUUAUCCUCAUCACUGUGCCAGCCUGCCGCUCUGCACUGGAAACCAGCUCUGACAGCCAUGACCCUCCAACCUGAUUGGACCAGUGACCCCUUGACCCCCCAGCCAUAGAGAUGGUGCUCAACUCCACCACUAUUACAUGCAGACCUCUGGACUACUGUAUUAAUACCCUGACAUGGACGCAAAGGUUUUAUCUUUCUGCUUCUGUCCCUCUGUCUGUUUACGCUCUCUAUUUCCUGGGCCUCCCUGAUCUCAUUCUGAUAUGAACCGUUUGCAGUAAUUUAGCUUUUUUUUUCAUCUUUUCUCUCUUGUAUGAUAUUUCUAUGUUUUGAACUGUUUAAACUUUGAUUAGUAUGACUCCUUUGGUUUGUUCAGACUGUAUUGAUACCUCUGUCCUGAUCAGGUGCACAAUAGCCAAAACUACUCAGGCAUCUUUCCAUUUCCUCUGCCGUUGAUUGUUCAGCCACUCUUCAGCCCCUGAUUCAUGUGAUUGUAUUCAGUUGGCAAGGAGGGACAAUAACGCCACACAAGCAUCCUAUUAUAAUCAACCGAGAGAGAGAGAGAGAGAGAGAGAGAGAGAGAGAGAAGGAGGGGUUUGGGAUGUUACAGUCUUAUGUUAUAGGAAAAAAACACCGCAAUAACAAGCAUCAGCUUUGUCUGUUAUCUGCUGUUUUUACCUGGUGUCACACUCACCAUGCAAAACCUUUCCACAUUCUGUUUGAAACUUUCUGUCUCGGUAGAUUGUGUCAACAGUGAGAUUCAUCUGUGAUGCAUUUGAAAACAAUGUUGUUGCCGGAGAGACGCAACUCUGCUCAGAUCCACAUACUUAGUGAGAAGUGAAAACUGUAAAUCCAAGUUGUCUGUGACAUUUCCGUUGAGAGCUUUGGAGGGCCUAAUUGCUUCAUGACAUUUAGAAGGUGCUUAAAGUACAAUAUCAAAAAGCCUUUAGGGUACAUAAGUUGCGCAUACUAUGUAAGAGGUCUGUGUCCAUCCAUGUGAUUAUUCAGUUUCACUGCAGUGUAACAAUAGCCGCUCCGUUUUUCUGAAGAGAACCAUUAAUCCUACAUAUGUGUCUGUUAUGACUUUCAUAUGUGCUUGUGCAUUCAAACCAUCUUUCUUCACUUCCCUCAGGGACCCUCCAAACAACAGUUUGUCUGCUCUGAACAAAGAAUGGAUAGGAGACUUGUCAAUUAUCCUUUCUUGUAUCAGUUAUGUGGUGUCGCCACAGUGAAAAGGGUCAGUGUGUCUUUUUAUUUUCCAAAGUCAUGCCAGUAAGUGAAAGCAUGUGUCAUCAAUCAUAAUCUGCUUAAUGUUACUUACCGUAUAUGAAAGGCCUUGUGCAGUGCAGUUCUGAACAAAAGGAGAAGCUCCUAAAAUGCAAAAGUCAGCGCUAUCUGCUUAGAGUUACGUGUCACCAAUCAUUGAAUAGCCUGUAUACCUCGUCAAAGACACAGCAAUAGACCCUGGUACUCUUGUCAAGCCUGCAAGGGGUGGAGAGGGACGAUCGGGGUGGGAACGGAGCCAAGAGGAGAUGAAAUGGACAUGACUGGGCGUUUGUUUCAUCUUCAGCUGUAAAUACAAGUCAAAAUG